GGGGUCUCGGGCAGGGGCGGGGAGCUUACCGACCUCCCGCCCCCGCUGCGCGCGUUUCUGGCCCUGCCAGUGUCUCCGCCGGUUGAAAGCGCGUGUCUGCGUCGGGUUCUGUUGGAGUGCGUUCGGUGCGCCGUGGGUCCGCGCUGCUUCCACCCAACUUCCUGUUAGUUUCUCUCCUGUCACAAUGGCAUGAUCUCGGCUCACUGCGACCUCUGCUUCCUGGGUUCAAGGAUUCUCCUGCCUCAGCCUCCCAAGUAGCUGGGAUUACAGGUUACAUUAGUUAUACACUCUGGAGGUGACUUGACCUGUCAUUGUGAACAAUUAUUGCUCUUGGACGACCCAGGACAUAGGCCAGCCAGUACGUACCCCAGUGUGUUGGAGAAUCGCGCUCGGCUUCUUCCUCUGUGCUGAGUCAUGAAAGUUGCCGGAGCAGGUGCAGUUACACAACCUCCAGGUAUGAUCCUGUUUAAGGACUGGAUUUAGGAUAACUACUUAGAGGUUAAAAGUCACAAGGGUGUAUGGAUGAGGCUGGAGUGAUCUGGGACCAAAGACAUCUAGGCUUGCUGUCAAGGCUUCUGAUCAACAUGAGAUGACCGCCGUGUGGUAAACUGAUGAACCCUGACCCUGAUCAACAUGAGAUGACCGCCGUGUGGUAAACUGAUGAACCCCGACCCUGAUGAACGUGAGAUGACCGCCGUGUGGUAAACUGAUGAACCCCGACCCUGAUGAACGUGAGAUGACCGCCGUGUGGUAAACUGAUGAACCCCGACCCUGAUGAACGUGAGAUGACCGCCGUGUGGUAAACUGAUGAACCCCGACCCUGAUGAACGUGAGAUGACCGCCGUGUGGUAAACUGAUGAACCCCGACCCUGAUCAACGUGAGAUGACCGCCGUGUGGUAAACUGAUGAACCCCGACCCUGAUGAACAUGAGAUGACCGCCGUGUGGUAAACUGAUGAACCCCGACCCUGAUCAACAUGAGAUGACCGCCGUGUGGUAAACUGAUGAACCCCGACCCUGAUCAACAUGAGAUGACUGCCGUGUGGUAAACUGAUGAACCCUGACCCAUUAGGCUUUGGCUACAGAAUGUGGAAAUAAGUUGUGUUACUACAUGUGUGUAAUCCUAGGGUGCAGGACACCGGCCGGGAGGUUCCAUAGAGUGAUGGGUUCUGCAGGUAACUCAUCCUCUAGUCCUCUGUAAGCUCCUAGAAGGAAGAAAUUAUGUCCUUUAGACUAAUAAAAUUCCUCCAAACCAAAUACAGCACCUACUGUGAAGACACAAAGAUACUUUUAGAAUAGUAAAAACUUUAUCCAUUGAGAAAUUCCUUAAUGAAACAGUAUCCAAGAAGUCAUUUGCCAGCAGAUUUCUUAGAGGUGCGAUAAAGAAGAGGACAUUGCCAGUCGUCACAGCAGCUGCAAUAGCUCCUCUCUAUUGUUAAACAGUGGGAUAUCUUGUGCAGGUUUUCAGUUGACAAUCAAUUUUAAAGAUUAGUUUCGGUCCCCAUCAAUCAAUUAUUUAUUAACCCAUCAAUAAAAAUUUAAAUGCUCUGUGAGGUACAAUAGCUAUUAAAA
rnacentral:lncRNA from 1 species